CGGGGCUAAUACCGGAUAACAUUUUGAACNGCAUGGUUCGAAAUUGAAAGGCGGCUUCGGCUGUCACUUAUGGAUGGACCCGCGUCGCAUUAGCUAGUUGGUGAGGUAACGGCUCACCAAGGCAACGAUGCGUAGCCGACCUGAGAGGGUGAUCGGCCACACUGGGACUGAGACACGGCCCAGACUCCUACGGGAGGCAGCAGUAGGGAAUCUUCCGCAAUGGACGAAAGUCUGACGGAGCAACGCCGCGUGAGUGAUGAAGGCUUUCGGGUCGUAANANNANGGUGUUAGGGAAGAACAAGUGCUAGUUGAAUAAGCUGGCACCUGACGUACCUACCAGAAGCC
rnacentral:rRNA from 1 species